ACCACACCGCUAGCGCCUCUGAACCUCGCCAGGCACGUCCGGUUCUGCGGCCCCCACUCCGCCCCCGCCUGCCAGGAGCCGCGCAGUUACAAAAUGCCAGGAGCCGUGGAAGGCCAGUGAACCCCUCGCUGAGACUCAGUUUGCUGCCAUCACAAGUGCUCCGAGAAUCCUGGAGAGGGAGGAUGUUGGAGACAAACGGGACUGCUGCCUGCCUCUUAGGCGACCGUCAGAGGCUGCUCUGUGCCGGGCACAGGUGGAACAGGCUCCCACAGCUCAGAAGUCAGCGGAGCAGAGUUCCCAGGAAACCAGGGUCAGGGAUAGAGGCUGCUGAGGAGCGGGUCUUGGAGGUGGAGGCCAGACACAAGGAAAUCACAGUACUAGUAAAUGACAAAGGCUGGAUCUUAACCCAAGUCCUCCGACUCUGAAGGCUGUACCCAACAGGUCCCAUUUUAUUUGUUUUACUUUUUUUUUAAUUGAAGAAAAAAAAACUAGCAUUCCCCUACAGUGCCUUCCACCCGAUGGGGACAUCUCGGGUUGGCAAGGCCACCACUUUCAAGAGUAGAAGUGUUUUUCAGCAGGAGGAGUUUGCGGCACCGAAGGAAAUCAGGAGAAGCUGGGGCCUCAGGUCCAGCAGGAACAGCCAGAGGUUUUGCCCCGUGGCUGGGCUCGCCCAAGGGUCUUCCUGUGGGUUCCCAGCAUGAGCCGAAGCCACCCUCCCCUGUGGGAUCUAUGAGGCCAGGCAUGGGGCCUCUUUAGGCCUCAGUUUCCUCCCGUCAUAGGCAACUGACAGUCCCUCUGGAGUGCCACUGGAGCUGCAGAGGCCGGAGAGAUGGUGCCCCCACUCCCCGCCAACCCCCCCCCCCCCAAAGCUCUCAGCAGGACGGUGGCUGCCUGGCUGAUUGCUUUUGCAUUUGCAGCAGAGCGGGGGAGUGAGGCCAAGCUGGGUGCCCCCCCCCCUGCCCAGCCAGCUCAGACCCAGGCUCUGGGGAAAACAGUGUGAGUCACCGGGCGGCCAGAGUGCGUCCUUCCCCGCUAGCGCACUACACGGCAGGUUUCAUAGCUUGACAGCAAAGUGUUUGAAAACGAAGAGCAGGAAUUCCGUGGUUCCUGCCCGGUCUCGCCAUCCAGCUGGGAGAAGAGCACGGUCAUUUCCUUCACUUAGUCCACGGCCACUGGGCGCUCAUCCCCAGCACAGCCCUCCCCCUGCCGCGGCAAAGACUGUUCCUGUCCUGCUGAGGGCUGUGCCCCCAGAGACUCAAUUGAGAUUCUGUAAGAUGUGGGGGAUGUGGCGGGGGAGGGGGGUGCUUCUCCACAACCCCAGGGCUCUCCUUCUUCCCCAGUGAGGUAGGAGAAGCCGCAGAUGGGGUCUGCUGAGGAGCAGGCCUACGUGAGGGCCAGGCUGUGACCCAUGGCUCCGGGGACCAGAAGGUAAACAAUUUUGGCACAGGAUGCACCCACUAGGUCAUAGGUGGAUUCAGCCUUCUCUGAGAACCGAGAAGAUUCUGGAGUCUUUUGAAGCAGCAAAGGAGAUCAGAGGAGGAGAUGGUGGCAAAGCGGGGACUGAGACUCUUGACAUGUGUUUAUCCCAGGCAGAGCAGCCGCUGAAAGGGGAGAUGGAGAGAGAGUGUCAGAAGCAGUACUGGGUGUUUUCCUGGGGUCUCUCCACAGUGCCCAAUCAUUUCUGAAUCACCAGGCCCGCUGGCACAGGGGUCUGCAGCCCAACCUCACAGAAUGACCGCCUCUCUGCAGGCGGGCAUCUCCCUGACAGCCCCCUCCCAGGACAGAAAACCUAUAGACACCUGGCUGCUGGGUGUCAGGCCACCCGCCCGUUUCUCUUCCUUUCCUUCCAGCCUUUCCUCUCCCAACCAGCCCCCUCCCCACCCGGUCCCCCUUCUAUUUUUCCUGGCUAAAACCAGCCACAGAUACCACCACACCCGGAAAGAGAUAAAUAAAUAAAAGAAAAACAACCUCAACUGUGAAAA